rnacentral:rRNA from 1 species
AUUGAACGCUGGCGGCAGGCUUAACACAUGCAAGUCGAGCGGAGCGAGGGUGCUUGCACCUUAGCUUAGCGGCGGACGGGUGAGUAAUGCUUAGGAAUCUGCCUAUUAGUGGGGGACAACAUUCCGAAAGGAAUGCUAAUACCGCAUACGCCCUACGGGGGAAAGCAGGGGAUCUUCGGACCUUGCGCUAAUAGAUGAGCCUAAGUCGGAUUAGCUAGUUGGUGGGGUAAAAGCCUACCAAGGCGACGAUCUGUAGCGGGUCUGAGAGCAUGAUGAGAGAAACUGGGACCGAGAGACGGCCCAGACUAUUACGGGAGGCUGCGGCGGGGUAUAUUCGACAAUGGGCGGAGUCCUUAUCCAGCAAUGCCGCGUGUGUGAAGAAGGCCUUUCGGUUGUAGAGCAUGUUAAGCGAGGAGGAGGCUACUUAGAUUAAUACUCUGGGAUAGCAGACGUUACUCGCAGAAUAAGCACCGGCUAACUCUGUGCCAGCCGCCGCCGUAA